GGAGCUGGAAAGGUGGAGGCGGAAGUGACUGAUCAAUUCAGGGGCGUGGGGUUCGUUUAGGUUUUGCCCUGUGUAUGACCUCGUUUGGAGCCAUGAAACCAGGUGGCUUUUCUACAAUAUAAAGAUGGAAAUGGGAAGAAGAUGUUCAUUGCAAAUUAAGAUAAAUAUCAAGGAGUGCAAUUCCUGGAUUUAUGAUGUCUGAGGAAUAGUCUUAGUGGAUUAUCCCAAACUUGACACAUUUUUUGCAAAAUGCUAUACAAAAAGAAGAUACAUGCGAUUAUGACAAGAUUCUCCACUUGGUGUGACCAGUCUCAUACAACCCAAGGCUGUGUGUCCAAAGGCAACUGUACUGCACAUGACAGAAUUGCUCUGUUGAAGUUUUGCAAGGUCAAAUGACUCACUUUGUCUAAUGGAACGGGAACGAACAAUUUUUUUGUGUCACGUUUGAACAGAUACCUUUGAGAAGUUUAUGAUUCUCCAAGUUCUCUUUCUCCUACUGUGGCACCUACUGACAAGAUAAAU
rnacentral:lncRNA from 10 species